GAAUAAUUGUGAAAAGUUUUUCUCGAGGGUACAAUACAGGGGCAGUGAGAGCUGGCAAGGAAAGGGUGAAAUAGGUCUUGUUAGUGCUGGCUAAGCUGGAGAGGUGGCAAGUGGCUGUGGCGAUCAUCCAUGAGGAAAAGUGAGGCAAGGAAGGCGGCUUCUAGAUACACGGAUGUGUGGUGUUCAUCUGUGUGGUUUGUGCACAUGCAUACAUGUCCUGAUAGUGGCGUUCAGUGACCUUUGUCACAAAACUUAAGCCACAAAGCUCCUUGUUUCCCAGCCUAGACAGAGCAAUCCCUGACCUUGGAACUCAGAUCUAGACUCGGAAUGGUACUUUGCUCUGUUUUUGCCGUCAUACUUUACACCACGUCCAUGAGCAAAUCCUCAAAAAAAAAAAAAAAAUCCCAAACUGACGCUCUCACUCCCUCAUUAUUGGCUUGUGGCUUGCCUGGACGGACACAGUACUCUGCAAACACUAACAGGGGUCACAGUGAUCUCUGGAGUUGUAUUCCAGAUCACACCAUGUCUCUUCAUGCUCCGGAUAGAUGGUAGCUUCCCUGUCAGGGUCCCCUGUGGUCUCACCUUGGGCGCCCCCCUUCAUUUUUGGAACUCUAGACUCCCCAGUCAUCUUAUGUUCCCUCGUCCAUGUUUGCUAGGAUCCUAUGGCCUUUGUGUUGCUUUCCGUGUCUAGAGUGGUCUUUCCCGAGAUAUAUGUGUGUGCAUGUGAUUUGCACUUAUUAGUUCAGCUUUGUUAUUGUUUUAUUUAGAGAUGGGGUCUUACGUAGCCCAGGCUGGUCUCAGUAUAGCCAAGGCUGGCCUUGAAUUCCUGAUCCUUCUGUCUCUACCUCCUAAGGGCUGGGAUUACAGAUGUGCGCCGUCGUGGCUAAGUGCUACCUCCUCAGAGAAACCUCCCUUGACCACCCACUCUAAGGAGACUUCCUAGUGUUUCUGUCCCCUUAUCACACCUUUAAAAAUUUAUCUCAUGCAGGGCUGGAGGUGGUGGCGCACACCUUUAAUCCCAGCACUUGGGAGGCAGAGACAGGUGGAUCUCUGUGAGUUUGAGGUCAGCCUGGUAUACAGAGUGAUUUCCAGGACAGCCAGGACUACACAGAGAUGCCCUGUCUUAAAAAACCAAAACAACAACAACAACAACAAAAAUCUCAUUUAUUACCAGCUGUAAUUGCAGUAUUUAGAUUUUUAUAUUAUGGACCAUUUCAAACAAGUAUAAGAAUAGAGAAGCUUGUCUGACAGGUUGCAUGAGCCUGUUCCUCAGCUGACAAUCAUCACCAGCAGGCAGGUCUUACUCUCCCCUCCAGACAUCUUAUCUGCAAACACUUCUAUGCAAAGGUUGAUAUUUAUCGCUCAUUCUCCAUUUUUUCCAAUGUAAUAUUUUUCUAUUUGGGGAUUUCACAUAAGGCACUCAAUCCUCAGUCCUUCCAGCUCUGCCUCCCCACCCUUGUGAACUCCCCCCCCCCCAAGAAAGAAAGGCAGAGGAGGAAGAGGAGGAGGAAGAAAAAACAUAUCCAAUUUGUGUUACCCAUAUACUCACUGGAACAUGGUCAAACCCCCAGUGGCCAGCCCCUUAAAGGAACUGAGUCCUUUCCUACCCCACCCCCACCAGAAGCCAAAAUCUAUGGAGAUUUCAGCUUCUGCAUCCUUUUCAUGCUUUUGUUGCUGUUGUUGUUGUUGUUGUUUUGAGACAGGAUUUCUCUGCGGCUUUGGAGCCUGUCCUGGAACUAACUCUGUGGACCAGGCUGGGCUUGAACUCACAGAGAUCCGCCUGCCUCUGCCUCCCGAGUGCUGGGAUUAAAGGCAUGCACCAUCACUACCCAGCUUCCAAAUGGUUUUUGCUGACCAUGAACAUCCGUCUGGUCUUCAGUUGUCAGCAUGCACCACAGACCUCAGCAUGGUCUCUGGUGUCAGUAAAGAUGAUGAACAUCUAGAUGGCUCUUGGUUGCAGCAUAAGAAGUCAUCAACAUGACUUCCAGGUCAACAUGAGCCACGAACAUCAAUAUGGUCUCCAGCAGUAGCCCAGCCAUGGACAUCAACAUGGCCUUAGGCAGCAGCACAGACCACGGACACCCACACGGCCUUUAGUGGGAAUAUGACCCACAGAUAUCAUUUAUUUUUUAUUUAUCCUUUUUUCUCUUUUCUUUAUUUCCUUCCUUUAUUUUAUUUUAUUUUAUUUUUCUGAAACAGGGUCUCUCAAUGUAGCCUAGGCUGGAACUGGCUAUGGCUAUGUAGAUCAGGCUGGGCUCGAACUCAGAGAUCUGCCUGCCUCUGCCUCCCGAGUUCCGGGAUUAAGGACAUGAGCCACUACACCAGGCUUUAUUUUUUUGAGUCAAGAUCUUUCUUUGUAGCCCAGGCUGGUCUGGAAUUCACUACGUAGCCCAGGCUAGUCUGGAAUUCACUGUGUAGCCCAGGCUGGUCUCAAACUCAUGACAAACCUGCUUUAGUCUCCCAAGUUCUAGGAUUAUAAACUCAACUUUGUUUUACUAAACUUUGACUUAUUUUUGACCAGAAACGGAAGGCUAGCUAUAUACUGAGCACACUGUAAGAAACUGAUAUUGUAGUACCUGCCGCUGUUUUUGUGUAGCACAGGCUGGCUUUGGGCUCCCAUUUCCCUUGCUUCAGCUUUCUAAAUAUUAAAGGUGUGAAUCAUGAGGCCCAACUGGUAAGGUUAUUGUCUCUGUUUAUAUUUUAUUUUGUUGAUACAAGGUCAUAUGUAGCCCAGACAAGCCUCACACUAACUAUGCAGUCAAUGAUAACUUUAAAUUCUUUGCCUCUACCUCCCAAAGUGCUAGAAUUCCUGGCGAAAGCUGUUUGCCUAGAUGCGAAGCGGUGUUCCCGGCAGCUGGGUUUGUCCGGCUUAUUCCCCGCUACACCUCAUAUUUAACAUAGGGCCUUGCUCAGAGCAAGUGACUCUGGACAUUUGCAGGGCUGUCAGCUGUUCUCCUGUGGUUUUGUGUCUCUUGCAGUGCCAGUGAGACUCAGCGCAUGCGUGUGCACGGAAGCAUGUGGCAGUCCUCUGGAUGGCACCCAACUUAGGGCCUGAGGAACAUCACUGCACAAGGAGGACAGGCCUGUCCACGCACUUGGACCACCACGACCAGUGGGCAAAGCACUGGUCCAGCAAGAAUCGCCAUGGUAACCCGACCAUGAGACAGAUUCGAGGGAAUUCAUCAGUGAUGCAAGAAAGAAAAUAAAGCUGGGCCUGAUGAUGUUGUAGCACCCCAUAAAGGAAUUCGAGAAAUGAUUGGAUAGGAAUCCUUGAUCCAGUCUUCCCUGCCCCCACGGAGAAAAAUGCCUGAUAGCAGUACCUGCUAAACCACUCAACACAGCCUGCCUCCAGGAGUCCUCACAAAGAGACCCCGCUGAGAUAAUCACCAAGACGUGCUUCAGGUAGCUGAAUCCCAGGAAUCUCACUUGCCCCGAAGCACAAGUGCUGAGCUGCUUCCAGACCUGGGAUGCAGACACAGAUGCCCUGCUGGGACCAUGGCGACUACAAUUUUCUGCAGUUUGAAUCCUGUUUGCUUUGGAGCUAAUAUGCAGACUAAACAUCUGACUUUUUUUUAAUCUUUGGGACACAGAACUCAUUUUGUUUAAAAUAUUAACCCCUCUUCACUUAAGAAGGGGGCAGACUUGGGGUUUGACUGUUGCUCAGAGACUGGAAUUGGUGUUUAAUAACAACAAUGUCAUUGUACUCUUACUGGAAUUGACCUAAUGAUAUUUGUAACUUUUUAUAGAUGUUGAGAAAAGUUUGACACACCCUGUAAAAUCUUUGGGUUUAAUGCAUAUGUAAAGAAUUUUAUAUUUUUGA